UACGUAGGGUGCGAGCGUUAAUCGGAAUUACCGGGCGUAAAGCGUGCGCAGGCGGUUACUCAAGUCGGAUGUGAAAGCCCUCGGCUUAACUGAGGAAGUGCACCCGAAACUGAGUAGCUAGAGUACUAAAGAGGGUCGCGGAAUUCCCGGUGUAGAGGUGAAAUUCGUAGAUAUCGGGAGGAACACCGGUGGCGAAGGCGGCGACCUGGGUAGAUACUGACGCUGAGGCGCGAAAGCGUGGGGAGCAAACAGG
rnacentral:rRNA from 1 species